rnacentral:sRNA from 1 species
AUUCUACCCAUGCGGGGAAGGAUGAGAAGCUUCGACUAAGGUUCGAUUCGAGCGAAAGCGAGAAAGCGUUGCCAACGGCAACGACCCGAAAGGCGAAGCGCGCAGCGCUGAGUAAUCCUUCCCCCACCACCA